AACGAACGCUGGCGGCGCGUUUUAAGCAUGCAAGUCGAACGGUAGAGGGGAGCAAUCCUCUUGAGAGUGGCGAACGGGUGAGUAACACGUAGAUGAUCUACCCUUGUUUUGGGGAUAGCUCGUGGAAACACGGGGUAAUACCGGAUACGCUCGAAGAGCUGUAGCUUUUUGAGGAAAGGCGCGGAUGCGCCGAACGAGGAUGAGUCUGCGGCCCAUUAGCUAGUUGGCGGGGUAAAGGCCCACCAAGGCGACGAUGGGUAGCCGGCCUGAGAGGGUGAACGGCCACACUGGGACUGAGAUACGGCCCAGACUCCUACGGGUGGCAG
rnacentral:rRNA from 1 species